GCGGGAAUAGCUCAGUGGUGGAUCACAACCUUGCCAAGGCUGGGGUCGCGAGUUCGAGCCUCGUUUCCCGCUCCA
rnacentral:tRNA from 1 species